AUGACUCUGAUCUGGGUCCUCACCUGGACUCUCCUCUGCUGCUGCUUCACAGAGUCCAGAGGCCAGGUCGCGGUGACUAAACCUGCAGCCAUGAGCUCUGCUCUGGGAGGCUCCGUCACCAUCAGCUGUAAAAUCAGCCAGGAUGUUUAUACUUAUGGAGGCUACCAGUAUUUAGCCUGGUACCAACAGAGAGAUGGAGAAUCUCCAAAGCUGCUACUUUUUGAUGCUAUCAGGCCAAUAACAGGGACUCCAGGUCGUUUCACUGGCAGUGGAUCAAAAUCUGACUUCACUCUGACCAUCAGUGGAGUCCAGGCUGAAGAUGCCGGAGUUUACUACUGUCAGAGUGCUCAUGACAGCGGCAGCCGAAAUAUGUACACACAGUGA